CCUACGGGAGGCAGCAGUGGGGAAUAUUGGGCAAUGGGCGCAAGCCUGACCCAGCAACGCCGCGUGAAGGAAGAAGGCUUUCGGGAUGUAAACUUCUUUUCUCAGGGACGAAACAAGUGACGGUACCUGAGGAAUAAGCCACGGCUAACUACGCGCAAGCAGCCGCGGUAAUAGGGAAGGCCCGAGCGUUAUCCGGAUUCAUGGGGCUUAAAGGGAGCGUAGGGGGGCGUUCACGUCAGGUGGAAAAUCGCGCGGCUCAACCGCGCCCCGCAGUUGAAACUGGACGCCUUGAGUUCACAACAGGCAGGCGGAAUUCGUGGUGUAGCGGUGAAAUGCAUAGAUAUCACGAGGAACCCCGAUUGCGAAGGCAGCCUGCCGGGGUGCGACUGACGCUGAGGCUCGAAGGUGCGGGGAGCAAACAGGAUUAGAUACCCUAGUAGUC
rnacentral:rRNA from 1 species